CUGGCCUGGGCACCUGCUGGUUCAAGCCCAGCUGCUUGUUCUCCUCCUGUAGAUAUAUUCAUCUCUGGUUGUUGUUCACAAGCCACAGAGUGCCAAGACCAAACAGGAGGCUGUUAGGACACCACCCUUACAAGCCUCUGCCAACUUGGCAGGAGGAGGAAAUUUUUGUUUUAAAAGAAAGAGAACUGGAUGUCCUCUUGUACACAUGGAUUAACUCACAGUUUCAUAAGACCUUGGGAAAGGAGAAAAUCAAAGGAGCUGUCUUUCCCUAAUUUGGACGGAGAGUUGGUGAAAAAUGGCACCUGCUCCAAGCCAUAAUAUCUGGAAUGUGUGGCCUUCAGAAUUGCCACUGUAGAGAAGAGAAGGCUGGAAGACCCCAUGGGAUGCUUUAAGGGCUAGGCCCAGAAGUGCAAUUACGUCAUUUACAACCACCUCUCUUUGGCCAGAACCAGGUCACACAGCUCCGUUCUAACUGCAAAGGAGGCCAGGGCUUAGAAGAUCUCGUGGAUAUUUGGUGAAUACUGGCAGUCUUGCCAUAGUCAGGAAACUUCAAAAAGGGGAAAAGAUGCCCUAUGGCCACACUCCACUCUGGCCCACAAGCUGGCAUCAUCCAAUGACGUGGCCGAUGUGGCCUCAUUUGUUGCGUGGGCUGGCAAAACCCAUAUUCAGGUUAUACAGGAAUCCUUCAUUAAAGUUUAGAGGUCCUUUCUCCUCCAAGGCCCAGUUCUGUUUUUUUUAAAAUUAAUUUUAAAAUAUUUUUCCCUUUGAUCUUUUAAUUAAUGAACUAUUACCAUAUAACAAAUUGCCCCCAAAACUCGGUGGCUUAAAACAACAAACAUUUAUUAUUUCACAGUUUAUGUGGGCCAGGAAUUUGAAUGCAUAUUAACUGAGUGGCUCUGAUUCAAGGUCUUUGACGAGGCUGUACUGAAGGUGUGGACUGGGGUUGCAGUCAUUUGGAGAAAUAGCCCAGUUGGAGUUGGAGGAUUUGCUUCCAAAUUGGCUCGUUCCCGUGGCUGCUGGUGGGAGGCCUCAGUUUCUCAUAGUACAGGUCCCUCCACAGGCCUGCUUGAGUGUCCUCAUGGCAUGACAAGUGAUCCAAGAGAGAGGGUGACACUGGACCAUG
rnacentral:lncRNA from 1 species